rnacentral:rRNA from 1 species
AUAGAACGCUAGCGGCGACGGCUAACACAUGCAAGUACGAGGGGUAAGGGUAGCAAUAUCUGAGACCGGCGGCACGGGUGCGUAACGCGUAUGCAAUCUACCUUUCACAGAGGGAUAGCCCAGAGAAAUUUGGAUUAAUACCUCAUAGUAUAAUGAUUUGGCAUCAAGACAUUAUUAAAGUCACAACGGUGAAAGAUGAGCAUGCGUCCCAUUAGCUAGUUGGUAUGGUAACGGCAUACCAAGGCGACGAUGGGUAGGGGUCCUGAGAGGGAGAUCCCCCACACUGGUACUGAGACACGGACCAGACUCCUACGGGAGGCAGCAGUGAGGAAUAUUGGACAAUGGGCGCAAGCCUGAUCCAGCCGUGCCGCGUGCAGGAUGACGGUCCUAUGGAUUGUAAACUGCUUUUGCACAGGAAGAAACAACGCUACGUGUAGCGUCUUGACGGUACUGUGAGAAUAAGGAUCGGCUAACUCCGUG